GACGAACGCUGGCGGCGUGCUUAACACAUGCAAGUCGAGCGGUAAGGCCCUUUCGGGGGUACGACGAGCGGCGAACGGGUGAGUAACACGUGGGUGACCUGCCCUCAGCUCUGGGAUAAGCCUGGGAAACCGGGUCUAAUACUGGAUAUGACUCCAUGACGCAUGUUGUGGGGUGGAAAGCCUUGUGCGGCUGAGGAUGGGCCCGCGGCCUAUCAGCUUGUUGGUGGGGUGANGGCCUACCAAGGCGACGACGGGUAGCCGGCCUGAGAGGGCGACCGGCCACACUGGGACUGAGACGCGGCCCAGACUCCUACGGGAGGCAGCAGUGGGGAAUCUUGCGCAAAUGGGCGAAAGCCUGACGCAGCGACGCCGCGUGAGGGAUGACGGCCUCGUGUAAC
rnacentral:rRNA from 1 species